rnacentral:rRNA from 2 species
UGGGGAAUAUUGCACAAUGGAGGGAACUCUGAUGCAGCGACGCCGCGUGAACGAAGAAGGCUUUCGAGUCGUAAAGUUCUUUUAUAUGGGAAGAUAAUGACGGUACCAUAAGAAAAAGCCCCGGCUAACUACGUGCCAGCAGCCGCGGUAAUACGUAGGGGGCUAGCGUUGUCCGGAAUCACUGGGCGUAAAGGGUUCGCAGGCGGAAAUGAAAGUCAGGUGUAAAAGGCAGUAGCUUAACUACUGUAAGCAUUUGAAACUGCAUAUCUUGAGAAGAGUAGAGGUAAGUGGAAUUUUUAGUGUAGCGGUGAAAUGCGUAGAUAUUAAAAAGAAUACCGGUGGCGAAGGCGACUUACUGGGCUCAUUCUGACGCUGAGGAACGAAAGCGUGGGUAGCAAACAGG